UACGGAGGGAGCUAGCGUUGUUCGGAAUUACUGGGCGUAAAGCGUACGUAGGCGGUUAUUCAAGUCAGAGGUGAAAGCCCGGGGCUCAACCCCGGAACGGCCUUUGAAACUAGAUAGCUAGAGUCUUGGAGAGGUUAGUGGAAUUCCGAGUGUAGAGGUGAAAUUCGUAGAUAUUCGGAAGAACACCAGUGGCGAAGGCGACUAACUGGACAAGUACUGACGCUGAGGUACGAAAGCCAGGGGAGCGAACGGG
rnacentral:rRNA from 1 species